CUAAUUCUUUCCCUCUCCAAGUGAAAACUCAAGCUUCUCAAAAUCCUCCAUAAAUAAUUUAGACUUCAUAACAUCAAAUGGGAGUUGAAAAAUUACAAGGAAGGAAAAUAGCCUUGUGAGGCUUCCAUUUGAGAGGAGAGAAAGAGUUGAGUGAAAAAGGCUUGGAGGCGGCUUAGUUUUGUGGAAGUUGGGAGAAAAACUGAAAGGUUUUCUCUUGUAUGCCAUGGUUGGAGUUUUAGGAAGGCAUAAGAGGUUCGGCCUAGUGAUUCCAAGCUAAGGAAGCAAAGGUCCUUCAAGAUUUGAAAGAAAUAGAUGCAUGCAUGUGGAUCAAUCUUGGAAUGCAUGGUGAUUUUGGAGAUAGUUAAGCAAUGGGUGAGUAUUUUAGUCUUGCAAUCACAAGUAAACAAGAGAAAUGAGAUGUGUGCUAAUUGUUUAUGUUUGUGGCGGCAAUGAUGACCAUGGAUGGGAGGAAAUUGUGAAUCAUAUGUGUGACUCAAGCUAAAAUCGAGAGGAAAUGUGUGUUGUAGUGGUGUGCCAGAAGAGGUAACGGGUGAUUGGCAAGUAAAAUUAGCUAGAUACGUCCUUGAGUCAAUAGCGAUGUAGCAUCCCGCUAUUGUAAGGUGAGUAGGGGGUGUCUAUUUUAAAAAUUUUCAUAAUUAUGUACAUAUAUAUAUUAUACGUGUUAAUUUAUUUUAAAUGCAAAAUUAUGGAAAGCAUGAGCUAGUAGAUAUCCUAGGAAUUAUGAAUGCCAAAGUAUUUGGAAUUUACUUUGAUUAUAUAUAUAUAUAUAUACAAGUUAUAUACGUAAAGGAUUUUAAAACCGGGAAACAAGCUUUUUACUAUAAUUUCUAUCAAAAUGAGACUUAUUGAUUGUGUGCUGUGCAUUCAUGAAUGAAUUUCGUACUCACCAUGCUGAUCUAACAUCUAAACCUCAUGCAAAAGGUUUUACAUUGUAGAGUCUUACAAAAAAGGGGUUUGAUCAUGUAACUAUAAGCAUACUUUGAAAAUGGUUUGGAAAUAAGCUUUUGAAAACCCAACUUGAUUUUUAAAUGGUUUUAUCAAACCGGGAAAUCUGAGAGUAGGCCAGUUGUCACUGCCAUGGCUGUGGGGAUCCGAUGGAGUGAAGCUCCCAAAUGUUAUUACAUGGAAGUGGGUCCACAAGAUUUUUAUUUUUAUUACCUACUCGAGAGUGAUAUCUUUUUGAGUUUUCACAGACGUAGUUUUUUGCAUGGUGAGAAAUACUAGUUUUUUCGCAACUCCCCUAUUUGAUUAAAAGCUUUUAGUGCUUUAAAUACUAAUUAUGAAUUAACGAUGUUGUGUUUAAUACCUCGGGGAUGAGAUGAUUUAUGAGCUUGUGUAAAAGCUUUGAUAACUUAUGAUUUCAUGGGAAUGUGCGUGAUUAUACUGAUUCAAAUUUAAGUAAAGGACAUCAAAUGAUUUUGACGAUAAAAAUCUUUCACUCACACGGGUUUUGAGACAAUGAUGGUUAAAUGAUUUCUUGUAUAACAAUAUUUGGUUUUAUAUAUGAGGCACAAAUGCCUCAUUUGAUUAAAUGGUUUAUAUGUUCUUAUGUUUUUAUAUAUUCAAAUCUUCUACCUUAGCUUGUUUCCCAUCUACACCCUACUCACGGAGUUGAUGAUCACUGAGUCUGUGAG